CAUGGCUCAGGAUGAACGCUAGCGGCAGGCUUAACACAUGCAAGUCGAGGGGCAGCGGGGAGGAAGCUUGCUUUCUCCGCCGGCGACCGGCGCACGGGUGAGUAACACGUAUGCAACCUGCCCCUGUCAGGGGGACAACCCGCCGAAAGGCGGGCUAAACCCGCGUACAUGCCACCGGGGCAUCCCGGAGGCAGGAAAGGCUUCGGCCGGACAGGGAUGGGCAUGCGGCGCAUUAGGCAGUAGGCGGGGUAACGGCCCACCUAACCGACGAUGCGUAGGGGUUCUGAGAGGAAGGUCCCCCACACUGGUACUGAGACACGGACCAGACUCCUACGGGAGGCAGCAGUGAGGAAUAUUGGUCAAUGGUCGGGAGACUGAACCAGCCAAGCCGCGUGAGGGAUGAAGGUACAGAGUAUCGUAAACCUCUUUUGUCAGGGAACAAAGGCGGGGACGUGUCCCCGGAUGAGUGUACCUGAAGAAAAAGCAUCGGCUAACUCCGUGCCAGCAGCCGCGGUAAUACGGAGGAUGCGAGCGUUAUCCGGAUUUAUUGGGUUUAAAGGGUGCGCAGGCGGUCUGUUAAGUCAGCGGUCAAAGCCCGGGGCUCAACCCCGGCCCGCCGUUGAAACUGGCAGUCUCGAGUUGGAGAGAAGUAUGCGGAAUGCGCGGUGUAGCGGUGAAAUGCAUAGAUAUCGCGCAGAACUCCGAUUGCGAAGGCAGCAUGCCGGCUCCACACUGACGCUGAGGCACGAAAGCGUGGGUAUCGAACAGGAUUAGAUACCCUGGUAGUCCACGCAGUAAACGAUGAAUGCUGGCUGUCCGGGGGGGAUUGACCCCUGGGUGGCGAAGCGAAAGCGAUAAGCAUUCCACCUGGGGAGUACGCCGGCAACGGUGAAACUCAAAGGAAUUGACGGGGGCCCGCACAAGCGGAGGAACAUGUGGUUUAAUUCGAUGAUACGCGAGGAACCUUACCCGGGCUCAAACGGGGAGUGACUCAGGCAGAGACGCCUGUUUCCCACGGGACACUCCCCGAGGUGCUGCAUGGUUGUCGUCAGCUCGUGCCGUGAGGUGUCGGCUUAAGUGCCAUAACGAGCGCAACCCCCGCGUGCAGUGCUAACAGAUAACGCUGAGGACUCUGCACGGACUGCCGGCGCAAGCCGCGAGGAAGGCGGGGAUGACGUCAAAUCAGCACGGCCCUUACGUCCGGGGCGACACACGUGUUACAAUGGGUGGUACAGCGGGAAGCCAGGCGGCGACGCCGAGCGGAACCCGAAAUCCACUCUCAGUUCGGAUCGGAGUCUGCAACCCGACUCCGUGAAGCUGGAUUCGCUAGUAAUCGCGCAUCAGCCAUGGCGCGGUGAAUACGUUCCCGGGCCUUGUACACACCGCCCGUCAAGCCAUGGGAGCCGAGGGCGCUUGAAGUGCGUCGCCGCGAGGCGCGCCCUAGAGCGAAAUCGGUGACUGGGGCUAAGUCGUAACAAGGU
rnacentral:rRNA from 1 species